GCCCUCGUGGAUGAAGGUACAUCACCCAUUCAGUAUUAUUAGUAGUGAAUGUCUAUGGGAGGUGGGGGUUCGAGUCCCUCCGAGGGCA